GACGAACGCUGGCGGCGUGCCUAACACAUGCAAGUCGAACGAGAAUCUUUGAACAGAUCUUUUCGGAGUGACGUUCAAAGAGGAAAGUGGCGGACGGGCGAGUAACGCGUGAGUAACCUGCCCAUAAGAGGGGGAUAAUCCAUGGAAACGUGGACUAAUACCGCAUAUUGUAGUUAAGUUGCAUGACUUGAUUAUGAAAGAUUUAUCGCUUAUGGAUGGACUCGCGUCAGAUUAGAUAGUUGGUGAGGUAACGGCUCACCAAGUCAACGAUCUGUAGCCGAACUGAGAGGUUGAUCGGCCGCAUUGGGACUGAGACACGGCCCAGACUCCUACGGGAGGCAGCAGUGGGGAAUAUUGCGCAAUGGGGGCAACCCUGACGCAGCAACGCCGCGUGCAGGAAGAAGGU
rnacentral:rRNA from 1 species